GAUGAACGCUGGCGGCGUGCCUAAUACAUGCAAGUCGAGCGAACAGAUGAGGAGCUUGCUCCUCUGACGUUAGCGGCGGACGGGUGAGUAACACGUGGAUAACCUACCUAUAAGACUGGGAUAACUUCGGGAAACCGGAGCUAAUACCGGAUAAUAUAUUGAACCGCAUGGUUCAAUAGUGAAAGAUGGUUUUGCUGUCACUUAUAGAUGGAUCCGCGCUGCAUUAGCUAGUUGGUAAGGUAACGGCUUACCAAGGCAACGAUGCGUAGCAGACCUGAGAAGGUGAUCGGCCGCACUGGAACUGAGACACGGUCCAGACUCCUACGAGAGGCAGCAAUAGAGAAUCGUGCGCAAUGGGCGAAAGCCUGACGGAGCAACGCCGCGUGAGUGAUGAAAGUCUUCGGAUCGUAAAACUCUGUUAUUAGGGAAGAACAAAUAUGUAAGUAACUAUGCACGUCUUGACGGUACCUAAUCAGAAAGCCACGGCUAACUACGUG
rnacentral:rRNA from 1 species